rnacentral:misc_RNA from 1 species
AGAGAGAGAGAGAGAGAGCAUAAAUCAUUACAAUUUUAGUUCAUACAAUAGACAAACUCAUAGGACAGUUCCCCAUUUAUUUAGCGAACCUCAGGGCUUGUUAAUUUUUAUACUAUGCAGACAUCCUAAGACCUUCCUAGGAAGCUAAGAUAUGAAUCUUGAGUGAUGUGAUACUAUGGUCUUUGCCAAACCUCUUGGCAUUGAGGUCUAUUAAAGUUUAACCAUGCAAUGCAAUUGAAAGUAAACAUCUUAUUAUACUAUGAAGCCUUGUUGUGAUCAAGUCUAGUGGUACAUCAUUUGAAGGGUUUUUUGUCCCUCCUACACCGUGAUAACUACCACAAGCUAGUGGCUUAGUGCACUCUCCAAUGAAACAUGCAUAGCCAUUAUACCAACAACCUCAUAUAGUCUGCUGUUCAACAAACUCCAUCAUCUCAUAACAAUUCCUAAUUAUGGUUGGAACAUUACUUGACAUCAGAUUUUGCAACCUUAAACCCAUUGGAAAAAAUGAAUGGGAACCUAAAUCACCAAGCUACAAUAGCCAAUGCGUUUUAUCUUGGUUCUAACCCUAGUUCUGUGUCCGUCUAGCAGCUGCAGACUAAUCUAUGAAGCCAGCUACUGAUCCUUGGUACAAUGAAUCCAAACUAUCCUUGGCAAUUUGUGCAGGACAAGAAAAUUAUCUGUUGAUAUUCUUUUUUUCUCCCAAAUUUCUUCCCUAACUGAUGUAGUUUCAUAACCAUACAAAUUUAACCACAUUUUUCAUAUAAAGAAAUGAUAAACCAUAAUUGAGUAGACAAAUUCUGCUAUCUAAAGGACAAUACUAAGAAGCCAAAUAUUUCUUUACCUUCCAUGUUAUAACCUAUUAUUCCAUUUUGUUUAACAAACUUAAUACGAUCAUGUUUUAAACAGUGACCAAGACUGACAUUUUAUAGAACAAGUUGAAAAUUGAGGAAGACCACUGGAUGCAUAAGAACACAAAUCCUUUUGCUUAUCCCAGAAUCCAGAUGAAUUUUAUUAAGGGUGAAAUGAUUAAGGCAUUGAAAAUUAUCAGGGUUUUGUCAUAAAUCUAAAUUGCAAUAAGCAUCUUCAAUAGAUGUAUCACUCGAUUGGAUGCAUUUGUCUAGAAGAAGAGGUGUCCAGAUACGACAGCAGCAGAAUGUCACUUUCUCAUCAACUAUCUGUCUUAUCAUUUCAAGUGCAUGUCUCAUUUUUUAUGAUAACAUUUAUUAUUGCAUCACUGAUUUAAGGAUUUUUGUUUUUUUGGUCCUGAUACAUGGUCAAUUGAUGAAGAAUGAGUUCAAUUGGAAGGUUAAAAUCUAUUCUUAGAAAUACCUCCAAAACAAACCUGCUUUCUUCCUCUCACUCCAAGAUGUGGAGUUGCCAGG